GACGAACGCUGGCGGCGUGCUUAACACAUGCAAGUCGAACGGAAAGGCCCUGCUUGCAGGGUACUCGAGUGGCGAACGGGUGAGUAACACGUGGGUGAUCUGCCCUGCACUUCGGGAUAAGCCUGGUAAACUGGGUCUAAUACCGGAUAGGAGCCAUUUUUAGUGUGAUGGUUGGAAAGUUUUUUCGGUGUAGGAUGAGCUCGCGGCCUAUCAGCUUGUUGGUGGGGUAAUGGCCUACCAAGGCUGCGACGGGUAGCCGGCCUGAGAGGGUGGACGGCCACAUUGGGACUGAGAUACGGCCCAGACUCCUACGGGAGGCAGCAGUGGGGAAUAUUGCACAAUGGGCGCAAGCCUGAUGCAGCGACGCCGCGUGGGGGAUGACGGCCUUCGGGUUGUAAACUCCUUUCGCUAGGGACGAAGCUUUUUGUGACGGUACCUAGAUAAGAAGCACCGGCUAACUACGUG
rnacentral:rRNA from 1 species